UCUACGGGAGGCAGCAGUGGGGAAUAUUGCACAAUGGGGGAAACCCUGAUGCAGCGACGCCGCGUGAGUGAAGAAGUAUUUCGGUAUGUAAAGCUCUAUCAGCAGGGAAGAAAUAGCGACCUUUGGGUCGCCAGACGGUACCUGAUUAAGAAGCCCCGGCUAACUACGUGCCAGCAGCCGCGGUAAUACGUAGGAUGCGAGCGUUAUCCGGAUUUAUUGGGUUUAAAGGGUGCGCAGGCGGGCUGUUAAGCCGGCGGUAAAAAUUCAAGGCUCAACCCUGUCGAGCCGUCGGAAC
rnacentral:rRNA from 1 species